rnacentral:tRNA from 1 species
CAGGGAAUAGUUUUAAAAAAAAAUAUUAAUUUUGGAGAUUAAUGAUAAGAUAUAUCUUUUCCCUGA